CAUUUAGUGGGGGACAACAUUCCGAAAGGAAUGCUAAUACCGCAUACGUCCUACGGGAGAAAGCAGGGGAUCUUCGGACCUUGCGCUAAAUGAUGAGCCUAAGUCGGAUUAGCUAGUUGGUGGGGUAAAGGCCUACCAAGGCGACGAUCUGUAGCGGGUCUGAGAGGAUGAUCCGCCACACUGGGACUGAGACACGGCCCAGACUCCUACGGGAGGCAGCAGUGGGGAAUAUUGGACAAUGGGCGGAAGCCUGAUCCAGCCAUGCCGCGUGUGUGAAGAAGGCCUUAUGGUUGUAAAGCACUUUAAGCGAGGAGGACGCUACUUAGAUUAAUACUCUAGGAUAGUGGACGUUACUCGCAGAAUAAGCACCGGCUAACUCUGUGCCAGCAGCCGCGGUAAU
rnacentral:rRNA from 1 species